AUUGAACGCUGGCGGCAGGCUUAACACAUGCAAGUCGAGCGGAGCGAGGGUGCUUGCACCUUAGCUUAGCGGCGGACGGGUGAGUAAUGCUUAGGAAUCUGCCUAUUAGUGGGGGACAACAUUCCGAAAGGAAUGCUAAUACCGCAUACGCCCUACGAGGGAAAGCAGGGGAUCUUCGGACCUUGCGCUAAUAGAUGAGCCUAAGUCGGAUUAGCUAGUUGGUGGGGUAAAGGCCUACCAAGGCGACGAUCUGUAGCGGGUCUGAGAGGAUGAUCCGCAACACUGGGACUGAGACACGGCCCAGACUCCUACGGGGGGCAGCAGUGGGGAAUAUUGGAAAAUGGGCGAAAGCCUGAUCCAGCCAUGCCGCGUGUGUGAAGAAGGCCUUUUGGUUGUAAAGCACUUUAAGCGAGGAGGAGGCUACUUAGAUUAAUACUCUGGGAUAGUGGACGUUACUCGCAGAAUAAGCACCGGCUAACUCUGUGCCAGCCGCCGCGGUAA
rnacentral:rRNA from 1 species